UACAGAGGUCUCAAGCGUUGUUCGGAUUCAUUGGGCGUAAAGGGUGCGUAGGCGGCGCGGUAAGUCGGGUGUGAAAUCUCGGGGCUUAACUCCGAAACUGCAUUCGAUACUGCCGUGCUUGAGGACUGGAGAGGAGACUGGAAUUCCCGGUGUAGCGGUGAAAUGUGUAGAGAUCGGGAGGAACACCGGUGGCGAAGGCGGGUCUCUGGGCAUCGCCUGACGCUGAGGCACGAAAGCGUGGGGAGCAAACGGG
rnacentral:rRNA from 1 species